rnacentral:rRNA from 1 species
AGUGAACGCUGGCGGUAGGCCUAACACAUGCAAGUCGAACGGCAGCACAGUAAGAGCUUGCUCUUACGGGUGGCGAGUGGCGGACGGGUGAGGAAUACAUCGGAAUCUACUUUUUCGUGGGGGAUAACGUAGGGAAACUUACGCUAAUACCGCAUACGACCUACGGGUGAAAGCAGGGGAUCUUCGGACCUUGCGCGAUUGAAUGAGCCGAUGUCGGAUUAGCUAGUUGGCGGGGUAAAGGCCCACCAAGGCGACGAUCCGUAGCUGGUCUGAGAGGAUGAUCAGCCACACUGGAACUGAGACACGGUCCAGACUCCUACGGGAGGCAGCAGUGGGGAAUAUUAGACAAUGGGGGCAAGCCUGAUCCAGCCAUACCGCGUGGGUGAAGAAGGAGUUCGGGUUGUAAAGCCCUUUUGUUGGGAAAGAAAAGCAGCAGGUUAAUACGCCGCUGUUCUGACGGUACCCAAAGAAUAAGCACCGGCUAACUUCGUG